rnacentral:rRNA from 1 species
CUACUCUUGACAUCCACGGAAUUCGCUAGAGAUAGCUUAGUGCCUUCGGGAACCGUGAGACAGGUGCUGCAUGGCUGUCGUCAGCUCGUGUUGUGAAAUGUUGGGUUAAGUCCCGCAACGAGCGCAACCCUUAUCCUUUGUUGCCAGCAAGUAAUGGUGGGAACUCAAAGGAGACUGCCGGUGAUAAACCGGAGGAAGGUGGGGAUGACGUCAAGUCAUCAUGGCCCUUACGAGUAGGGCUACACACGUGCUACAAUGGCAUAUACAAAGAGAAGCAAACUCGCGAGAGCAAGCGGACCUCAUAAAGUAUGUCGUAGUCCGGAUUGGAGUCUGCAACUCGACUCCAUGAAGUCGGAAUCGCUAGUAAUCGUAGAUCAGAAUGCUACGGUGAAUACGUUCCC